GGGCCCAUAGCUCAGUCGGUUAGAGCUGCUGACUCAUAAUCAGUAGGUCCCAGGUUCGAGUCCUGGUGGGCCCA
rnacentral:tRNA from 1 species